UUUAUGGAGAGUUUGAUCCUGGCUCAGGAUGAACGCUGGCGGCGUGCCUAAUACAUGCAAGUCGAGCGAACGGACGAGAAGCUUGCUUCUCUGAUGUUAGCGGCGGACGGGUGAGUAACACGUGGAUAACCUACCUAUAAGACUGGGAUAACUUCGGGAAACCGGAGCUAAUACCGGAUAAUAUUUUGAACCGCAUGGUUCAAAAGUAAAAGACGGUCUUGCUGUCACUUAUAGAUGGAUCCGCGCUGCAUUAGCUAGUUGGUAAGGUAACGGCUUACCAAGGCAACGAUGCAUAGCCGACCUGAGAGGGUGAUCGGCCACACUGGAACUGAGACACGGUCCAGACUCCUACGGGAGGCAGCAGUAGGGAAUCUUCCGCAAUGGGCGAAAGCCUGACGGAGCAACGCCGCGUGAGUGAUGAAGGUCUUCGGAUCGUAAA
rnacentral:rRNA from 1 species